rnacentral:rRNA from 1 species
GACGAACGCUGGCGGCGUGCUUAACACAUGCAAGUCGAACGGUGAAAGGGAGCUUGCUCCCUGGAUCAGUGGCGAACGGGUGAGUAACACGUGGGCAACCUGCCCCAGACUUCGGGAUAACGCUUCGAAAGAGGUGCUAAUACCGGAUACGAACUCCUUGGGCAUCCUUGGGGUUGGAAAGUUCUUCGGUCUGGGAUGGGCCCGCGGCCUAUCAGCUUGUUGGUGAGGUAACGGCUCACCAAGGCGACGACGGGAAGCCGGCCUGAGAGGGCGACCGGCCACACUGGGACUGAGACACGGCCCAGACUCCUACGGGAGGCAGCAGUGGGGAAUAUUGCGCAAUGGGCGAAAGCCUGACGCAGCAACGCCGCGUGAGGGAUGACGGCCUUCGGGUUGUAAACCUCUUUCAGCAGGGAAGAAGCGAAAGUGACGGUACCUGCAGAAGAAGCACCGGCUAACUACGUGCCAGCCGCCGCCGUAAAAC